AGCCAGCCAGGAAGGAGGAGGCAGCCAGACUGGCCACCACUGUUCUCUGCAGCAGAAGACCCCUUGCUGCCAGGCCUCCAAAGACGAUAAACCUCAUGGGAAGCACAUACCUCAACCUACAAGCAAAAACUGAGAAGGCCUGAUUCCAAGUUGCCAGCAGAUGAACUGGCACCCAAAGACGGUGGCACCUAAAGAUGGACCUCUCCUGAUGAUCUUAAUGAGAGGUGGGGAUCUUGCAGAGAAAGGUGCUUUCUCAGACUUCAUACCCUCCUCACAGAGUCUUCCCACAAUGAAUCAUCACAUCUACUCUUGAAAAGAGGCAGCUCAGCCAGUCAAGACUGCCAUAGCUGGAGACAACCUGCAGGGUCCCCAAGGAUGACAGACGGAAAGGCCCACUGUCACCAGAGACCUAAGUAGCAGCUGCCCUUUCCCCAAUCAAGGGGAAAGCAGCAGGGGCAAGUCUUCCUCAAUUAAGCAGGGUAAGACCUUACUGGGUCAUUACACAGGUGUCCUAUUCCCUGCAGAGAAGGCUUCUUUUUGCUAUUGGAUAGUCAAUAGAGGUGUCAUCUUUUAAACAGAAAGUAACUUCUCUCUUCUUCAGUGUCUGCCAUGCUUGGUUGCUUUCUGGCCUCUUCCUCCCCCUCUCCUCCCCAAACGCCUUACAUAUGUUUUCAUGUAAUAGAUGUCCCCACAUUAUUUUGUCACUCUUCUGUCUGUAUUUUGAUCAUAUUGCCUAAAAAAAAAAAAUCUAUCGUUGGGGUUUUUUUGGCAUCUCUCACAAUCACUGAAUUAAAAUGCAUAUUU